rnacentral:lncRNA from 1 species
CGCUUCCGCAUAAUCGGUAUGUGUCGCGCACUAAACUGUUUACGUAUGCACCGGUUAACAAAAUCGAUGUGUUCCGGCACUCGCAGUCAGAAAGAAGCUGUGUGUUCACUGUUGGCACAUUGAAUGAUUGGAUAAAUAAUGCUCUAUUGGAUAAAUACGUAAAGUACAUUGGACAGCUGUGAUUGUGGCGUGGACAGCUGAGAUUGUGUUUUGGACAGCUGAGAUUGUGACUUGGACAGCUGAGAUUGUGGUGUGGACAGCUGAGAUUGGUGUGAACAGCUGAGAUUGUGGUGUUGACAUCUGAAAUUGUGAUUUGGACAGCUGAGAUUGUGACUUGGACAGCUGAGAUUGUGCUGUGGACAGCUAAAAUUGUGGUGUGGAAUAAUGAUAUUGUGGUGUUGACAACAUAUUGUGGUGUGCACAUGUGAUAUUGUGGUGUGAUGGUUUAAAGUAGCAAAGGUAAAGAACGUUUGACAGCUUAGAUUGUGGUGUGGACAGCUGAUAUUGUGGUGUGGACAGCUGAGAUUGUCAUGUGGACUACUUAUAUUGUGGCUUGCAGAGCUGAUAUUGUGUUGUGAUGGUUUAAAGUACUAAAGAUUUAUUCCUUACUACCUUCCUGUCAACUAUAUCUUCCACAGCAUGAUUUAAUCUAGUCCCAAUCAUUGACUCUGGUUACCUCACCAGACGGUCCGUCCACAGAGUCACAAGCAACAGAUACUAAAACUCGGCAAAGUACAUG